GACGAACGCUGGCGGCGUGCUUAACACAUGCAAGUCGAACGGAAAGGCCCUGCUUUUGUGGGGUGCUCGAGUGUCGAACGGGUGAGUAACACGUGAGUAACCUGCCCUUGACUUUGGGAUAACUUCAGUAAACUGUGGCUAAUACCGGAUAGGAGCUCCUGCUGCAUGGUGGGGGUUGGAAAGUUUCGGCGGUUGGGGAUGGACUCGCGGCUUAUCAGCUUGUUGGUGGGGUAGUGUCUUACCAAGGCUUUGACGGGUAGCAGGCCUGAGAGGGUGACCGGCAACAUUGGGACUGAGAUACGGCCCAGAAUACUACGGGAGGAAGCAGUAGGGAAUAUUGCACAAUGGGCGGAAGAAUGAUGAAGCAACGACGCGGGCGGGAUGAAGGACUUCGGGUUGUAAACCGCUUUCGCCUGUGAAGAAGAGUGAGUGACGGUAAUGGGUAAAGAAGCACCGGCUAACUACGUG
rnacentral:rRNA from 1 species